CUUUCUGUAAAGCUAAUCUUUUUUAAUUUCAAAAGAAUGAACAGGAACAACAACACUAAUCAACAAAUCACAAGUAGCAACAAUAAUAAAAAUAUAUGGACUAAAGAAGACUAAAAGCUUACAAGAAUUGACAAGUCUUCAAUAAAAUCUCUCGAUACUGCACAAAAAUGAAAAUAAAUACAACUCAGAUUAAACUGAAACCUUAAAAAAUCCAAAAGUAACAAUAACAAGUACAACAAUAUACCAUCAGAGUUGAGGUUUUUGAGCCUAAAAAAAGCAGAAAAAUAGGAGUCAACACUGAAAUAGCAAGCAAAGAGAGGAUAGAAAUCCUCGUACAUCGUCGAAAUCUCCUCAUCAAAGCAUAUAAGCAUGAAACAGAAGCCAAAAGGUAUUGGAUUAUUAAUCAUAAUAUGUAAAAAGACUCAGUUUAUAAGGAUAAAAAUUGAGUAUUUAUAUACAGAAAAUGAAACAAACAAAAAAUGUAGUAGUGUGAAAUAGCCUAUCAAAGCAUAAAUAUGAACCAGAAGGCAAAAGGGUAUAUGAUCAUUCAACGAAAUAUGCCAAAAAAUCAGUUAAAUAUGAAACAAAAGCCAAAAAGGAUUGGAUAAUUAGAAAGAUUAGUAGGGGAAGAGAGAUCCACUGAAGCAACAAAAGCAAUGAGCAAAAACUAAGGCACUUCAAAAAUAAAAUCACAGCAACAUUCUCGUCCAUUUAGAUGAAAAAUAAAAUCUACAAUAGAUGACUUAUGAUUUAAACAACCUAGAACUUUAAUAAAAAAAUUUAAAAAAACAUCUAAAAAAUAAGCCUUCAACACCCAGACGAGUUAAGAUAUCAAAUAAGAUUGCGAUGGCCAUUUUGCAUACUUCAUUGCAACAAGAGCAAGAAAAUAGAAACCCUAACUCAAAAGGAGAGAGUAACAUGUUUACUGAUUUUCAGAUUUGGAGAAAUUAGCACGACGCUUCUAUUGUUGAGCCUGGAGUCCGAAAUUAAGCCUUCCAAUUAAUGAUUUUCAGAUUUGGAGAAAGUGUGAUGGAUGCUUGGAUUGAAUCUGAACCUGGAGAAGAUGAGUCUGAUGAAGGAAUCGCCUCUCUCCU
rnacentral:lncRNA from 1 species